AAUCAGCCGCAUAUCGAUAAUAUGCAGUGUACAGAAGGAAGUGUAAUUUGUGUUUAGUUCUAUGCUUGUGUGCUCGGUACAGGCUUUAAUUUCAUGAACUUGUAACUAAUUUAAGGUAUGGCAGUGGUAUUGAAAGCUUCAUGACAAUAAGUACGAGAGGGAAUGAGCCGGCAUAGAACUCUGAUGCCAUCUUUUCUACGCCUUCCUUCUCCAACCCAUUAGCUUAUUUGAAGAUGAAGAAACAGUUCUUCCGUGUGAAGCAGUUGGCUGAUCAGACCUUUUCUAGAGCUGGAAAAACAGAAGUGCUGUCAGACGAUUUAAUAGAAGCAGACCGAAGAGUAGACUACAUACGAACAGCAUGUCAGAAUACAGGGAAGAAACUAACCAACUGUUUCCCCUAUCAAGGACAAGAGAUCGACAAAAGGGUCAAAAAGAUUCCAGAAUACAUCCUAGGAGCUGCGAUGCAAGAAAGUGGGACAGGUGAUAGUUGCCUUUUAGGAAAUAUUCUUCAACGGUGUGGCGAAGUCGAACAGGACCUGGCAAACUUGCUUGUCAGCUAUGAAGUGGGCGUUGAAAAGGCUGUGAUAGAACCUCUACAGAAUGUGAUAGAUGUGGAUAUUCCUAAUAUCAGUAAACAUAAACGGAAUUUGGCAAAACUCACAUUGGACAUGGAUGCUGCAAAAACUAGGUAUCAAAACUCAGUGAAGCAUGCGAACACAAAUGCACGCUUAGAUUCCAUAAAGGAUGAAAUGGAAGAGGCUGAACUGAAAGUGGAACAGUGCCGCGAUGCUCUUGCAGCGGAGAUGUUCCAGUUCAUUUCAAGGGAGGCUGAAAUUGCUCAGAUGGUUGUUGAAUAUGCAAGGCACAAACGUGAUUUUCAUGAAAAGGCUCUCAAAUGUUUAGAGGACGUUAUACCAGCAUUAGAGGCUACUAUUCAGGAAAGUGACAUCAAGCCCGUGUACUCGCAGCCUCUAGAGGAGCACCUGCGCAUCACGCACCGUAAGAUAGCACUGCCUAUUGAGUUGUGUGUUUGUGCGCUGCUGGAGCUGGGUAUGGCAGAAGAGGGUCUCUUCAGGGUUGCUGCAGGUAUGUCAAAAGUUCGGCGCAUGAAGUUGAGCCUAGAUGCUGGUUUGAUGAAGCUGGAGACAGCGAUAGAAUAUGGUGACCCUCAUGUUGUCGCUGGUGCACUGAAGUGCUACCUGAGGGAACUCCCGGAGCCACUCAUGACAUACAAAUUGUAUGAUGAGUGGAUUGCAGCCUCGAAAGUUCAGAACCAGGAGAUACGCUUACAAGAGUUGUGGAAAGUAGUCCAGAAGCUUCCGACAGCGAAUUUUGACAAUUUACACUACCUCAUUAAGUUCCUUUCUCAUCUGUCACGCAAUCACGCUCUAAACAAGAUGACGCCACAAAAUAUUGCAAUUGUUAUUGCUCCAAAUCUUAUGUGGGACAGUGAGACUGACGCAAAUACUGUCGGAAUGAAUAUGAACUCGGCCAAUAUCCACAGCAGUGUAGUGGAUAGCUUGGUCACGUACGCUGAUUAUUUCUUCCCCGGAGAACUUGACUUCUACCAGACAUUUUCGAGGGAACCCACAGGUGGCGUAAAUGGUGGAAUGUCCCUGAGUGUAGGUAGUGGUGCUGUGUUCCAGAACAGCAUUCAGUCUUCCGCGUCUACAACUGCUACAGGGAUAGCUUAUGGGCAUGUACGGAGCAGCAGUGGUGAAAGCCAAAACAUCACCUUGGGUGAUACGACAGGUGGCCUGAAGCGGGCACAGUCUAGCAGCAGCCUGUCUGACCACAGCAGCCCACCUCAAGGGAGUCCGAAGCCAAUAACACGACGGAAGAAUAAACCUGCACCAAUACCACCAGCUGCUGUGAGUCGGGAGCACCCAGAAAAGCCACCACGACCAACUGUUGCACCACCACCAGUGGUUUCAACGCUGCCACGACCAGCUAAGAAACCGUUGUUACCAGAACCGCCUCCGCCACCACCGGCGACAACCGCCUCCAGGCGGAGCCUCGACCUAGAACAUGCAGCGCCAUUGGCGCAGCCCGAGGAGGUGACACCUCCGCCCGUGACGGAAGUGUCGCAGCCUCUGUCUGCUACUGGUGGAGGCCACACUACGACUGUCACUGUCACUGCAGGUAGCAUUGGUAAGGUUUCCAUCCUUUCGGAUCACCAGCUCCACCUGCAGCCACAUCUGCAGCACCAACAGCAGCAACAACAGAAGGUGACAGUGAAUUGCAGUGAUAGUAACAUGAGCACCCUCGACAGGAAGCACUUGCAGAGACCUGUCGCUGCCCCACGUACCUCUGUAGUCAGUGUAAAUACUUCUGUAGACUGUGUCCCUGGCACUGCAGAAUCACACACUUUGUUCUCAUCAUCACCACCCAAAUCCAACUCCGAAACGGUGGGUGUAAAUAGUUCCACUUCGGCGGAUGGAAGUGUGACACUGAGAAAAGUGCCUGUAAGUGACAUUUGUGAAAAAUCGUCCAAACCGGUUGUGCCUGAACGACCUGCUUCCCUGUUGCGGCCACAUGCAGCUUCUUUCCGUGCUACUAAGCAUUCUGAUGGUGAUAUUUCUUCUGUCGAAAAAGCAAAUUCAGAAAUAGAGAUCAGUGCCCAGAAAGGCCUCAAAGACCCUCAAAAACUGAGGAAGUUUAUAGCAACGUGGAGAAAGAAAACGGAGAAUCUGGUUAUCCCAGUACACUCUCGAAAGGAAAUGACGUCAGUCUCCACAGUGACCCAUCUGUGAGCUGUACUGAAUCGACAGUGAGUUCUCUCAAACCACCAACAAAGCCACCAAGACCUGGACCUCCACCUCCACAGCCACCACCUCGCAGAGACAGCAUAGAGAGCACAGAUCUUUGACAUUGAUUUCAAGAGCU
rnacentral:misc_RNA from 1 species